rnacentral:rRNA from 1 species
GACGAACGCUGGCGGCGUGCUUAACACAUGCAAGUCGAACGGUGAAGCGCCUUCCUUUUUGGUGGGUGUGGAUGAGUGGCGAACGGGUGAGUAACACGUGAGUAACCUGCCCCCUUCUUCUGGAUAACCGCAUGAAAGUGUGGCUAAUACGGGAUAUUCUGGGUCUGUCGCAUGAUGGGUCUGGGAAAGAUAUUGUUUCGGUGGGGGAUGGGCUCGCGGCCUAUCAGCUUGUUGGUGGGGUGAUGGCCUACCAAGGCGGUGACGGGUAGCCGGCCUGAGAGGGUGGACGGUCACACUGGGACGGAGACACGGCCCAGACUCCUACGGGAGGCAGCAGUGGGGAAUAGUGCACAAUGGGCGCAAGCCUGAUGCAGCGACGCCGCGUGGGGGAUGGAGGCCUUCGGGUUGUGAACCUCUUUCGCCAGUGAAGCAGGCCUGCCUCGUUUGUGGGUGGGUUGACGGUAGCUGGAUAAGAAGCGCCGGCUAACUACGUG